CCGACAAGUACGCGACCGUGCGCCCGCAGCGCCGCGCCGACCCGCAGCCGCUGUCGGCCGCCGCGCUCGAGUACCGCAGCCUGCAGCGCCCGCGCCGCCAGCAGAACGCCAGCAACCAGCACCGGCGCCGCCACGACCAGCACAACCAGCGCGACGCGCGUGAUCAGCGCGACCCACACAACCAGCGCGAUCAACGCGACCAACGUGAUCAACGCGAUCAGCGCGACCUCUACGCGGUCACGGAAUUGUAGGAGCAGCCUCCGGGGACCAAGCAGCUAUCUGUGCAUCUCCGGUGCUCCUAUGAUUGUAAAACGGCCACGAAACUCUAAACGUGUGUCGUGUAGAUUAAAUCGAACACGUUUUUUAAAUUUCGAUCGAUCGAUAAUUCUCUUGUGAAAGUGACGUGCGAUAUUGACAUUCUAGUGAUGUAUCCGAGCGUUUAAGAUGAAAGAAAAUUAUGUUGUAAGGUGGAGUAAAAUUUCCACUUAUGAUAACCAUUCAACAUAAAAAUUUUCUUAUUUAUCUAGGACUUUGAUUCCUAUGAAAUUAUAUUUCAUUACGCAAUAAAGUUUCACUCAACCAUUUACUAUGCAUAUCAUAGUAAUGGAAAGAGUUCGAAGACAAUUUGAAUAAGAAUAAUUAAUACGUUUAUAACUAUUUCUUUUCUUUUAAUAUCAUCUCGUUGCAGAUUUUUGCUCGUAUGUACGUACGUAUGUACUCGUUUUACGUGUAUUACGUCAUAAUCUUUGCAGGGUUUGUAAAAUAAUUUCCGUUUAAUGUUCAAAUAUGCUCAAUUGAUGUAUCAUUUGUAUAAAGUAUGGUCUAACUACUUUAUUAUAUUUUUGUAGCACUAGUAUUUGUGUAUUUAUCUAUUUGGCACAAAAACUUUUAGAUACAUUUUCAAUGAUUAUUCAGUAACUCUGAACAUGGCCUAUGGGUUUGUAAUAAAUUACAAAAUCCGAUUUAUGCUUUUAAUAUAUUAUAAGAACACUUGAAUUAGUCUUUUUUUUUUCACGUUAUAUAUAAAGUUUCACAAUAAUCAUUAAUGAAUUAACCUUAAAAAAAACCAAAUUAUUCAAAUACUAGAAAUCUUCGCAACCUUAUCCAAAAUAUAAUCAUAACAAUAAAAUAUACAAUAUUAAAACAAAAUAGACCGUGUAAUUAAUUUGUGUACUCGUUGUAAAUGUCGUAAUAAUAUAUAAGGAGUCCAUAAAAGGCUGUGCUGUGCUAAUAAUCAGAAUUGACCAAAAAGAUCAAGCGGUUUUGUUAUGUAACUUUCUAAAAUGUAAUGUUAUAACAUUAUUUGUUAUAACUUUGCGACAAAUAGUGUUAUAACAAGUAGCGUUGUGAUUUGUUAUCACUUAAAAUUUAUUUUCAUAUUAAUCUGUCUUUUCAUUGUGAAGACUAAUCGGUUUUUCGCUCAACAUAGUUAUAAGGUAAAUUUCAAACGGUUUUAGAAAAGUUUAAGUAAUCGCUGACCUAAAAAGACUCGACGAUUAUUCACUACGAAAUAAAUAUCGGAAAAAAAAAUACAUUUUUGUAUACUUUUUCAAAAUAAUUUGGAUUUUAUAAAUAAUGGUGUAGCUCAUAAACAAUGUAGAGAUAAGAUUAAAUUAUGUGAACAUAUUCGAUGUUAUAAUAUAACAUUUACUAAUUGAAAUGAAGGCUAUAGGCUAUAGAAAAUUGUGUUUAAUAUUAAUGUUUUAGUGGCUUUAAGCCUCCCGAACUGGUGGAUUUGUACAUCAUAUAUAAAAUAUUGCGAAAAAUGUGAAAUUGUAUCAAAUUUUUCGAAUAAUCCAUUUUAUUAAAUGACACUCAAAUAUAGACUUCGAAUGUGUGAUUGAAAUUUUCUAAAUUGAUCUUUAUUUUGUUUCAGUAAAAGACAGUUUAAAAUUUUAUACAAUAAGAAUCUCUUGUCUAAUUUGUCUACUUAUAUAAUUGAAAUCGGCUCAAGGUAAGGCGGUUUUAAUUAGAUCAAAAUAGUGGACCUAUUUGUAUAUACACUUAUUAGAUAUAUUUUAGUUUCUUGUAACACUGAAAAUUUUAGAUUUCUAGAAAAAAUAAUCGAAAUAUUUAAUGAAAGCAUUCCAUCAUGUGUAGCUAAAGUGGAAUUGGUAGUCUAGUAAUGUAAAAUCGACCUAAGAAUAUGGUAUAAGGUGCAAACUUAAACUGCCAUUCGUUGAUGUUAGUAAUAAUUAAUAAACGAAAUAUUGUCUCGCUGUAAUACACCAAACGUAUUUUAUAAUCAAAGGAAUAUGAUCACGGAGAUGAUCUGUCUUGCACAUUUGUUUAGAAGCUCGAGAUAAAAAAAAAAAACCGUCUGACAGCUCAACAAUUUUCGCGCCAAAAUGUUGUAAUUUUCGCGAUCAUCUUUCUAACCUAAUAUUCUUAUUAGCUCUAAAUUUAUACGUAUAAGUGUUAAGCGAAAUGGUACCAGUUUUUAUUCAGUAUUAUGAUAGAGAAUUUUGUGAGACUUUACAACGAUGUUGGUACGUUUUUUAAUGAUCUAUGUAAUUCAUUUUUUUUUUUCAUCUCAACGUAAUUUCACGGUACCGUAAGCAGUGUAUUCGCCAAAGAUAAUGCAUAAUUUAAUAUAAGUGUAGUUAUUGUAAGUUGAAUGUAAGAUUUUAGAUUUUAUGUGGCUGCUAUGUAUUGCCAUGGGUUUUUUUUUUAAUUUCAAUGUUCUCCGUUUUACGUACAAAUUAUAUAGUGGAAGUGUAAAUUUUCAGUGAAAUUUUAUCUCCUGUAUACGUUACUAUAUUUUUAAUAAAUAAUGCUCAAUUAUUAUUUUUUUAUAUUUGAAUAAUGCGUGCAUGAGAUACCAGUCAUUUUUAUUUCGCGUGCAUUUUUUCAAAUCUCUCACCGAGCAUUAUAUCCUGUAAUUUUUUUAUGUUAAAAUUUAUAUAAAAGAAUCUACACGCAAUAUCGAAAUAUGCUAUAUGUGUAACUUCACUGUCUCUCAAUGUAAUUAAUGCACUCUAUUUAACGACAUUUCUUAUUAAAUAAAUUAGGCAGUUGUAAAUUUUUUUAGGGGUAUUGAAGUGUUCCGUUGCAAAGGUUUAAACAUUUCGACGUUUUUUUCAUCCAAGCGAUGGUCCGUACAUAAAUGAUUAUAUGGAAAAAAGUUACCAAAGUGUGGGUUAUUGCAUUUUUAAUACCUUUUGAAUGUGCGAGUGUAAUGUACGUGCCAUACUGUUUUUUUUUAUUAAUCACAGAAUUAAAAAAAAACUCGAAUAUUUUUGUUUCAGAGCACCUUAACAAAGUUUGUAAAAUUUCGGAUGCGUAAUUUUUUAAGUAUAUUCUUUUGUUAAUUUAUAUAAUUUAUUUUAAAUGUGUAUUAUAUUGUUUGUUUUCCGUAUCAUUUGCUUUAUGCAUAACUAUUUUGCUUUUGAAGUCAAUUAUGGUGCGAGUAUGUUAAAUUUAUAUACAACCUUUUAGAUUACAAGAAAUUUUUUGAGUUCCGUUUCCGAAGAACUUUCAACGGAACUCGUCCUUUGUCCGUCUGUCACAAAGUUAAACUUUUAAAUGUAAUAUUGUUAUUUUUAUAGGAUUUAUAACGAUAAUCGCUAUUACACCACGUUAUAAAAAUAAAACGAGUUUCCUCUUGUCUUUUCUACUUUCAUAGCUUAAUCUUGAAAAUAAAUAAAAGUAAAGAAAUAUAUUUUACAGUGGAAUAAAAUCCUUUCGUUUGGGAGUCGAACUCGCGUUUGGCCGGUUACAGCCUUGUGUGACAUAUCCUUUUUUAAAUUUAAUCAAUUUAUAAAUACAUACUUAAAACUCUUUCAUGUCCCUUCUUGUUCAGUUUAAAUAUAUUUCUUUUAAUUAUGUUACUGUUUUCACAAAAAAUAUUUCUUGUAAUAUAAAGGGCUGUCUAUUUGUCUACGGUGAUGUAAUGACUCGUGUAAGGUAAAUUAUAAACGGUUGAUGAUAGAUCAAGUGUAUGAGUUUACAACGCAAAUAAUAAAUGAUUUAAAAAUGUAAAAAAAAAAAAAAAAACAA
rnacentral:misc_RNA from 1 species